rnacentral:ribozyme from 1 species
UGUGCCAAAUGGAGGGGUGUUCAAAAAAAAAAAAAAAAAAAAAAAAAAAAAC